rnacentral:rRNA from 1 species
AUAUAAUUAAGCGGAGGAAAAGAAACCAACAGGGAUUCCCUCAAUAGUGGCGAACGAAGUGGGAAUAGCCCGAGAUGUGAAUCGCCUUCACCGGCGAGUUGUACAUCAUGGUCUUUGCCAGUGGGAUGCUCUGCUUAAGGUGCCUGGAAAGGCAUGCCACAGAAGGUGAUAGCCCUGUCUUUAGCAGAUGCGGAACGCGUACGGCACUGAUCGACUGAGUCACGCUCUUUGGGAGUAGAGCGCAAACUGGGUGGUAACCAUCAUCCAUGGCUAAAUAUUGGCGAGAGACCGAUAGCGCACAAGUA